GAGCUGGGCUGAGCUGGGCUGAGCUGAGCUGACCUGAGCUGGGCUGGUCUGAUCUGGUCUAGGCUGGUCUGGGCUG
rnacentral:miRNA from 14 species